rnacentral:rRNA from 1 species
AGCAGCCGCGGUAAUUCCAGCUCCAAUAGCGUAUAUUAAAGUUGUUGCAGUUAAAAAGCUCGUAGUUGAAUUUCGAGAUCAAAUUGUUGGUCGUGCCUCGGUACGUACUGGCAUUAUUGAUUUCUCCCUUCUGAAGAACCUUGAUGUCAUUAAUUUGGUGUCUUGGGGAAUCAGGACCGUUACUUUGAAAAAAUUAGAGUGUUUAAAGCAGGCUCACGCUUGAAUACAUUAGCAUGGAAUAAUGAAAUAGGACGUUUGAUUCUAUUUUGUUGGUUUCUAGGAUCGACGUAAUGAUUAAUAGGGAUAGUUGGGGGCAUUAGUAUUCAAUUGUCAGAGGUGAGAUUCUUGGAUUUAUUGAAGACUAACUACUGCGAAAGCAUUUGCCAAGGAUGUUUUCAUUAAUCAAGAACGAAAGUUAGGGGAUCGAAGACGAUCAGAUACCGUCGUAGUCUUAACCAUAAACUAUGCCGACUAGGGAUC